UGGGGAAUAUUGCACAAUGGGGGAAACCCUGAUGCAGCAACGCCGCGUGAAGGAAGACGGUUUUCGGAUUGUAAACUUCUGUUCUUAGUGAAGAAUAAUGACGGUAGCUAAGGAGCAAGCCACGGCUAACUACGUGCCAGCAGCCGCGGUAAUACGUAGGUGGCAAGCGUUGUCCGGAAUUACUGGGUGUAAAGGGAGCGUAGGCGGGAUGCCAAGUCAGCUGUGAAAACUAUGGGCUUAACCUGUAGACUGCAGUUGAAACUGGUAUUCUUGAGUGAAGUAGAGGUUGGCGGAAUUCCGAGUGUAGCGGUGAAAUGCGUAGAUAUUCGGAGGAACACCGGUGGCGAAGGCGGCCAACUGGGCUUUAACUGACGCUGAGGCUCGAAAGUGUGGGGAGCAAACAGG
rnacentral:rRNA from 1 species